CCACAUUAUUGGAUAUCUAUCUAUCUAUCUAUCUAUCUAUCUAUCUAUCUAUCUAUCUAUCUAUCUAUCUAGACAGAUAGAUAGACAGACAGAUAGACAGACAGAUAGACAGACAGAUAGACAGAUAGACAGACAG